AUAAGUAGGAGUCGCUUGGUCCCCAUUGAAUUAGCGGCAUUGUCUUCUCAUAAUUAUGGACCAUCUGAGUAUGUGUCAGAUCUUGCUGAGCUAUCCUCCAUUGCUUGGGCAGUAUUGCAGAGACACUAGUAAAUUUUUGUGUGAAGACCUGUCUGUAUAUUGGACAAAAGUUGUCAAAUUCAGUUCCUGAAAAUGCUACCGAAAUAUCAGGUCCAAGUCAUCAAUAUUCAGAAGAAUAUCCAGCAUUAUACAUUCAAAUACUGUGAAUUUUUUCACCCAGAUUUGGAAAGCCAAAUUCACCAUGAGUCAAGUCUUAAAUUUGAGUCAGCUUUGCCCCAUUUUAUCCAUGACCUUAGACAAGUAAGUUAUCAUUUCUUACUUCCAGCUCCUUUGUCUAUAAAAAGAAAACAUCAUUCCUUUAUUGAGUAACUAUUAUGUGCCAAAUACUGCCCUAGGCAUUAGGAACAUAGCAACAAAUAGAAUUAGAUACAUUUCCUGAUCCCUGGGAUGCUAUAGUCUCCUGAAAAAAGACAACCGACACAUUGAUGAAGAAGUAAAUGAAUAAAAUAAACAAAGGAUAAAUUGAUGAUUCCAAUAGAGCCAGGUGUUACAGGUUAAGUGCACCUUACCAUGCUAUGAGUUCUGGGCGUGCCUGUGGAUGACUGACAUGUAAGACAGCAUACUGAAGAAAGAAGACCACCCUAGAUGUGGUGCUACCAACCAAUAGGCUUGAAGCCUGGAUAUGUAAAUAGGGAAAGAAGAAAGAAGUGUCACCAUUUUGGAAGAGCUCCAGACUUCCUCAUCACCUUUGGACAUGGGUCUUCAAUUUCUUCAGUCUUCCAAUCCAGACUCACAUCAGUGACUCCACAGGCAGACCCCAGUGCUGCAUCCUUGAUUCCUCUUGUUCUGCAGCUUCCAUCUUCUCAAGCAGAGCAGCUACCAACUUACCUAACUCUGCAGCUGCAGCUGGCCAUUGUGGAUUCUUCUACUUGUAAGCCUAUCUAAUAA